UACGUAGGUGGCAAGCGUUGUCCGGAUUUACUGGGUGUAAAGGGCGUGCAGCCGGGCCGACAAGUCAGAUGUGAAAUCCGCGGGCUUAACCCGCGAACUGCAUUUGAAACUAUUGGUCUUGAGUACCGGAGAGGUCAUCGGAAUUCCUUGUGUAGCGGUGAAAUGCGUAGAUAUAAGGAAGAACACCAGUGGCGAAGGCGGAUGACUGGACGGCAACUGACGGUGAGGUGCGAAAGCGUGGGGAGCAAACAGG
rnacentral:rRNA from 1 species